rnacentral:rRNA from 1 species
UGGGGAAUAUUGGACAAUGGGGGCAACCCUGAUCCAGCCAUGCCGCGUGUGUGAAGAAGGCCUUCGGGUUGUAAAGCACUUUUGUUGGGGAAGAAAAGCACUGGGUUAAUACCCUGGUGUCAUGACGGUACCCAAAGAAUAAGCACCGGCUAACUUCGUGCCAGCAGCCGCGGUAAUACGAAGGGUGCAAGCGUUACUCGGAAUUACUGGGCGUAAAGCGUGCGUAGGCGGUUUGUUAAGUCUGUCGUGAAAGCCCCGGGCUCAACCUGGGAAUGGCGAUGGAAACUGGCGAGCUAGAGUACGGUAGAGGAGAGUGGAAUUCCCGGUGUAGCAGUGAAAUGCGUAGAGAUCGGGAGGAACAUCAGUUGCGAAGGCGGCUCUCUGGACCAGUACUGACGCUGAGGCACGAAAGCGUGGGGAGCAAACAGG